rnacentral:rRNA from 1 species
UACAGAGGUGGCAAGCGUUGCUCGGUAUCACUGGGCUUAAAGGGCGCGUAGGCGGUGCGGUGCGUUUUCGGUGUAAUCCCUGGGCCCAACCGAGGAACAGCCGGAGCAACGGCCGCGCUAGACGGCAUCAGGGGACAGUGGAACUCCUGGUGUAGCGGUGGAAUGCGCAGAUAUCAGGAGGAACACCGAUGGCGAAGGCAGGUCUCUGGGCCGCUACUGACGCUGAGAAGCGAAAGCAUGGGGAGCGAACAGG